rfam:Fukomys damarensis contig75366, whole genome shotgun sequence.
ACAAAGGCUCUUUUAUGUGCCUGAACUCUGUUCCCAAGAGCCACCCAGCUCACUCAAAUACUUUCUUU